AGGUGACCCUGAGACCACUGAAAAAGAAAGAAAUGAAAGCCAUGAAACUUUCUUGAACUGGUGGGAAUCCAUGAGAAAAUCUGACAUUAUGUUCUAUUCUCUUGGAAAGUAGAAAUACUGUUUGACUUCUGGGCUGUCCUGCUUCUACAAGUGACAAUGACAAAUACAGGCCUGAAGAAAGAUGAGCUGAUGGCAUUCCCAGCUUAUUGGAUUCAAUUCAUAGACUCAGCUGGGUGAGUAUAUAUUAUUUAGCUGCAUUAGAACUGCUUAAGACUCAGGUGUGUGGUGAAAUGAGGCAGAAUAUUCUCAAUGGAGUGUUAGAAUUUUCUCCUCAUAAUUACCAUCUUACUAUCACUAAAUCAUAGCUAAAAUAAGGAAAUUAAGAAGAAAUAGAAAUAUAAUCUUAUGAGGACAUAAAUUUAGAGAUU
rnacentral:lncRNA from 1 species